CAGACUGGGAGCAAGGAGAUUGGGUACAACAGGGAGAGGGGAGGGAGGACUGCAGCAGAUGUCCAGGCUGAGUUGAUUAUGGCCUGGCAUAAGAAUGGAGAGAGCAGGAGGAAUUCAGGAGGUCUGAACUGGAAGUACUAAGGUGUUUCAUCUUGUCAACUCUAUCAGCUUGGUGAUGGCUACCUGGAAUGCCACAUGGAAGAUGAUUCCAGAAAGAUGCAGGCCAUGCAGAGUGGUAGUGGGGUGCCAGAAAGUGCAUGGGUGAAGGAGGAGGCAGGGACCAGGAGUUUUUCAAAGGAACUAACAAGAAACACCCCUCCCAAGGGCUGUAAAAAGCGACUGCUGGGCCGGGUGUGGUGGCUCACGCCUGUAAUCCCAGAACUCUGGGAGGCUGAGGCAGGUGGAUCACCUGAGGUCAGGAGUUCGAGACCAGUCUGACCAACAUAGUGAAACCCCCAUCUCUACUAAAAACACAAAAAACUAGCCGGACGUGGUGGCAUGCACCUGUAGUCCCAGCUACUCAGGAGGCUGAGCCAGGAGAAUCGUUUGAACCCGGGAGGCGGAGGUUGCAGUGAACUGAGAUCGCACCAUUGCAUUCCAGCCUGGGCAACAAAAGUG
rnacentral:lncRNA from 10 species